rnacentral:rRNA from 1 species
UACGUAGGGUGCGAGCGUUGUCCGGAAUUAUUGGGCGUAAAGGGCUCGUAGGCGGUUUGUCACGUCGGGAGUGAAAACUCGGGGCUCAACCCCGAGCCUGCUUCCGAUACGGGCAGACUAGAGGUAUGCAGGGGAGAAUGGAAUUCCUGGUGUAGCGGUGAAAUGCGCAGAUAUCAGGAGGAACACCGGUGGCGAAGGCGGUGGUCUGGGCCGGAACUGACGCUGAGGAGCGAAAGCGUGGGGAGCGAACAGG